rnacentral:rRNA from 1 species
ACUGCCUCGGGAUAACGGGGAGGAAGGUGGGGAUGACGUCAAGUCCGCAUGCUCCUUACGUCUAGGGCUACACACGUCCUACAAUGGGGUCGACAAUGGGAUGCAAUAUCGCAAGAUGGAGCCAAUCCCCAAACGGCCUCUCAGUUCGGAUUGUAGUCUGCAACUCGACUACAUGAAGUUGGAAUCGCUAGUAAUGGCAGAUCAGCAUGCUGCCGUGAAUACGUUCCCGGGUCUU